rnacentral:rRNA from 1 species
GAUCCGAGCGUUAUCCGGAUUUAUUGGGUUUAAAGGGAGCGUAGGUGGAUUGUUAAGUCAGUUGUGAAAGUUUGCGGCUCAACCGUAAAAUUGCAGUUGAAACUGGCAGUCUUGAGUACAGUAGAGGUGGGCGGAAUUCGUGGUGUAGCGGUGAAAUGCUUAGAUAUCACGAAGAACUCCGAUUGCGAAGGCAGCUCACUAGACUGUUACUGACACUGAUGCUCGAAAGUGUGGGUAUCAAACAGGAUUAGAUACCCUGGUAGUCCACACAGUAAACGAUGAAUACUCGCUGUUUGCGAUAUACAGUAAGCGGCCAAGCGAAAGCAUUAAGUAUUCCACCUGGGGAGUACGCCGGCAACGGUGAAACUCAAAGGAAUUGACGGGGGCCCGCACAAGCGGAGGAACAUGUGGUUUAAUUCGAUGAUACGCGAGGAACCUUACCCGGGCUUGAAUUGCAGAGGAAGGAUUUGGAGACAAUGACGCCCUUCGGGGCCUCUGUGAAGGUGCUGCAUGGUUGUCGUCAGCUCGUGCCGUGAGGUGUCGGCUUAAGUGCCAUAACGAGCGCAACCCCUCUCCUUAGUUGCCAUCAGGUGAAGCUGGGCACUCUGGGGACACUGCCAUCGUAAGAUGUGAGGAAGGUGGGGAUGACGUCAAAUCAGCACGGCCCUUACGUCCGGGGCUACACACGUGUUACAAUGGGGGGUACAGAGGGCCGCUACCACGCGAGUGGAUGCCAAUCCCAAAAACCUCUCUCAGUUCGGACUGGAGUCUGCAACCCGACUCCACGAAGCUGGAUUCGCUAGUAAUCGCGCAUCAGCCAUGGCGCGGUGAAUACGUUCCCGGGCCUUGCACUCACCGCCCGU